rnacentral:rRNA from 1 species
AGCGGGAGAAAAGGGAGCUUGCUCCCGGAUGUUAGCGGCGGACGGGUGAGUAACACGUGGGUAACCUGCCUGUAAGACUGGGAUAACUCCGGGAAACCGGAGCUAAUACCGGAUAGUUCUUGAACCGCAUGGUUCAAGGAUGAAAGACGGUUUCGGCUGUCACUUACAGAUGGACCCGCGGCGCAUUAGCUAGUUGGUGGGGUAAUGGCUCACCAAGGCGACGAUGCGUAGCCGACCUGAGAGGGUGAUCGGCCACACUGGGACUGAGACACGGCCCAGACUCCUACGGGAGGCAGCAGUAGGGAAUCUUCCGCAAUGGACGAAAGUCUGACGGAGCAACGCCGCGUGAGUGAUGAAGGUUUUCGGAUCGUAAAGCUCUGUUGUUAGGGAAGAACAAGUGCGAGAGUAACUGCUCGCACCUUGACGGUACCUAACCAGAAAGCCACGGCUAACUACGUGCCAGCAGCCGCGGUAAUACGUAGGUGGCAAGCGUUGUCCGGAAUUAUUGGGCGUAAAGGGCUCGCAGGCGGUUUCUUAAGUCUGAUGUGAAAGCCCCCCGGCUCAACCGGGGAGGGUCAUUGGAAACUGGGAAACUUGAGUGCAGAAGAGGAGAGUGGAAUUCCACGUGUAGCGGUGAAAUGCGUAGAGAUGUGGAGGAACACCAGUGGCGAAGGCGACUCUCUGGUCUGUAACUGACGCUGAGGAGCGAAAGCGUGGGGAGCGAACAGGAUUAGAUACUCUGAUAGUCCACGCCGUAAACGAUGAGUGCUAAGUGUUAGGGGGUUUCCGCCCCUUAGUGCUGCAGCUAACGCAUUUAGCACUCCGCCUGGGGAGUACGGUCGCAGGACUGAUACUCAAAGGAAUUGACCGGGGCCCGCCACAGGCGGUGGAGCAUGUGUUUUAAUUCGAAGCAACGCGAAGAACCUUACCAGGUCCUGACAUCCUCUGGACAACCCUAAGAGAUAGGGCUUUCCCUUCAGGGACAGAAUGACAGGUGGUCCAUGCUUGUCAUCAGCUCGUGUCGUGGAAUGUCGGGUUAAGUCCCGCAACGAGCGCAUCCCUUGAUCUUAGUUGCCAGCAUUCAGU